GUUCACAGGUAUGCUGGAUUAAGAUUUAUGCCAAAUUUGUUGCUCCCAUGGAAUAUUUCAGUCGAACUUUUGAAUUUUUUUUUUUUUCACAAUUUUCACACUGCAUGGUUGUGAAAUGGAUUGCUAUAUGGUAAAAGGUAUAUAGACAAUAUAAAAUUUGUGCCACUUACUGAAAUUUCUGAGAGCAUUCCAGUUUACAUAGGUAUAAAUAAACUAGCAAGUUGCAAUAAUGGAUUAAUGUGUAUCAGAAGGUGCCACAUCAUAAGCUUGUUCCCAAGUUCAACUAACACAGGAUAUAGGGAUCAUGACACCUGAAGUGCUUGAACAUUAUUGCUUCAAUUUUACUUUGUUACAAUUGAAGCCAUUAAGCGCAUUCUCAAUGCACAAGGCUUAGAAGGACUUAAUAUCUUAAUGAAAUCACUGCUCCAGAUGAAUGUAAAAACAUAAGUUUCCAUUAUGUCUUUCUUUUCUUUAUUUUUUGCUUUUAACAUUAGACUUUUCUUUUUGUACACUACCAGUUUUCUGAGGCAUUUGGAAAA
rnacentral:misc_RNA from 1 species